rnacentral:rRNA from 1 species
AUUGAACGCUGGCGGCAGGCCUAACACAUGCAAGUCGAACGGUAGCACAGAGGAGCUUGCUCCUUGGGUGACGAGUGGCGGACGGGUGAGUAAUGUCUGGGAAACUGCCCGAUGGAGGGGGAUAACUACUGGAAACGGUAGCUAAUACCGCAUAACGUCGCAAGACCAAAGAGGGGGACCUUCGGGCCUCUUGCCAUCGGAUGUGCCCAGAUGGGAUUAGCUAGUAGGUGAGGUAACGGCUCACCUAGGCGACGAUCCCUAGCUGGUCUGAGAGGAUGACCAGCCACACUGGAACUGAGACACGGUCCAGACUCCUACGGGAGGCAGCAGUGGGGAAUAUUGCACAAUGGGCGCAAGCCUGAUGCAGCCAUGCCGCGUGUAUGAAGAAGGCCUUCGGGUUGUAAAGUACUUUCAGCGAGGAGGAAGGCGUUGUGGUUAAUAACCGCAGCGAUUGACGUUACUCGCAGAAGAAGCACCGGCUAACUCCGUGCCAGCAGCCGCGGUAAUACGGAGGGUGCAAGCGUUAAUCGGAAUUACUGGGCGUAAAGCGCACGCAGGCGGUCUGUCAAGUCGGAUGUGAAAUCCCCGGGCUCAACCUGGGAACUGCAUCCGAAACUGGCAGGCUAGAGUCUUGUAGAGGGGGGUAGAAUUCCAGGUGUAGCGGUGAAAUGCGUAGAGAUCUGGAGAAAUACCGGUGGCGAAGGCGGCCCCCUGGACAAAGACUGACGCUCAGGUGCGAAAGCGUGGGGAGCAAACAGGAUUAGAUACCUGGGUAGUCCACGCCGUAAACGAUGUCGACUUGGAGGUUGUGCCCUUGAGGCGUGGCUUCCGGAGCUAACGCGUUAAGUCGACCGCCUGGGGAGUACGGCCGCAAGGUUAAAACUCAAAUGAAUUGACGGGGGCCCGCACAAGCGGUGGAGCAUGUGGUUUAAUUCGAUGCAACGCGAAGAACCUUACCUACUCUUGACAUCCAGAGAACUUAGCAGAGAUGCUUUGGUGCCUUCGGGAACUCUGAGACAGGUGCUGCAUGGCUGUCGUCAGCUCGUGUUGUGAAAUGUUGGGUUAAGUCCCGCAACGAGCGCAACCCUUAUCCUUUGUUGCCAGCGGUCCGGCCGGGAACUCAAAGGAGACUGCCAGUGAUAAACUGGAGGAAGGUGGGGAUGACGUCAAGUCAUCAUGGCCCUUACGAGUAGGGCUACACACGUGCUACAAUGGCAUAUACAAAGAGAAGCGACCUCGCGAGAGCAAGCGGACCUCAUAAAGUAUGUCGUAGUCCGGAUUGGAGUCUGCAACUCGACUCCAUGAAGUCGGAAUCGCUAGUAAUCGUGGAUCAGAAUGCCACGGUGAAUACGUUCCCGGGCCUUGUACACACCGCCCGUCACACCAUGGGAGUGGGUUGCAAAAGAAGUAGGUAGCUUAA